AGAGUUUGAUCAUGGCUCAGGACGAACGCUGGCGGCAUGCCUAACACAUGCAAGUCGAACGGAGGUAUGGGCUUCGGCCCAUGCCUUAGUGGCGAACGGGUGAGUAACACGUGAGCAACCUGCCCCGUACUACGGGAUAACACUAAGAAAUUAGUGCUAAUACGGUAUAUGACCACACCGAGGCAUCUCGGAGGGGUAAAAGCGUUUAGCGGUACGGGAUGGGCUCGCGGCCAAUUAGCUAGUUGGUGAGGUAACGGCCCACCAAGGCGACGAUUGGUAGCCGACUUGAGAGAGUGAUCGGCCACACUGGAACUGAGACACGGUCCAGACUCCUACGGGAGGCAGCAGUGGGGAAUAUUGGGCAAUGGAGGAAACUCUUACCCAGCAAUGCCGCGUGAGUGAAGAAGGUCUUCGGAUUGUAAAGCUCUUUGAUUGGGGACGAAUUAAUGACGGUACCCAAGGAACAAGCCCCGGCUAACUAUGUGCCAGCAGCCGCGGUAAUACAUAGGGGGCGAGCGUUGUCCGGAAUGACUGGGCGUAAAGGGUGUGUAGGCGGCUUCGCAAGUUGGAAGUGUAAUACCUAGGGCUUAACUCAGGUGCUGCUUCCAAAACUGCGAGGCUUGAGUGUCGGAGAGGAAGAUGGAAUUCCUAGUGUAGCGGUGGAAUGCGUAGAUAUUAGGAGGAACACCAGAGGCGAAAGCGAUCUUCUGGACGAUAACUGACGCUGAGGCACGAAAGCGUGGGGAGCAAACAGGAUUAGAUACCCUGGUAGUCCACGCCGUAAACGAUGGAUACUAGGUGUAGGGGGUAUCGACUCCCCCUGUACCGCAGCUAACGCAAUAAGUAUCCCGCCUGGGGAGUACGGCCGCAAGGUUGAAACUCAAAUGAAUUGACGG
rnacentral:rRNA from 1 species